rnacentral:rRNA from 1 species
UUACGGGAGGCAGCAGUGGGGAAUAUUGCGCAAUGGAGGAAACUCUGACGCAGCAACGCCGCGUGGGUGAAGAAGGCUUUCGGGUUGUAAAGCCCUGUCAGGCGGGAAGAAACUUCCGCAGGUGAAUAGUCUGUGGAACUGACGGUACCGCCAAAGGAAGCACCGGCUAACUCCGUGCCAGCAGCCGCGGUAAGACGGAGGGUGCAAGCGUUGUUCGGAAUUACUGGGCGUAAAGCGCGUGUAGGCGGUCCGAUAAGUCGAGUGUGAAAGCCCGAGGCCCAACCUCGGAAGUGCAUUCGAAACUGUCGGGCUUGAGUACGGGAGAGGGAAGUGGAAUUCCUGGUGUAGAGGUGAAAUUCGUAGAUAUCAGGAGGAACACCGGUGGCGAAGGCGGCUUCCUGGACCGAUACUGACGCUGAGACGCGAAAGCGUGGGGAGCAAACAGGAUUAGAUACCCCGGUAGUCCC